rnacentral:rRNA from 1 species
CCCGCUGAACUUAAGCAUAUUAUUAAGCGGAGGAAAAGAAACUAACUAGGAUUCCCUUAGUAGCGGCGAGCGAAGAGGGAAGAGCUCAAUGUGAAAAACGAUAACCUGGUUAUCGAAUUGUAACUGGAAUGUUACCAGUGAUGCAUCAGGGGUAAGUCUCUUGGAAUAGAGCGCCACAGAGGGUGAAGGCCCCGUCCUUACUCUGAAUGUAUCACGCUCGGUGCGUUUCCUAUGAGUCGUGUUCCUUGGGAGUGGAGCGCAAAAUGGGUGGUAGACUUCAUCCACGGCUAAAUACUGGUGGGAUACCGAUAGCAAAGAAGUACCGUGAGGGAAAGAUGAAAAGAACUUUGGAAAGAGAGUUAAACAGUAUGUGAAAUUGUUGAAAGGGAAACGUUUGAAGUCAGUCGCGUUGGUUGGGGAUCAGCCUGACAUUGUUGGGUUUACUUCCUGGUCGACGGGCCAACAUCAGUUUUGACUGCCAGAAAAAGGCCAAAGGAAUGUGGCACCUUUGGGUGUGUUAUAACCAUUGGUCGUAUAUGGUGGUUGGGACUGAGGAAAGCAGCGUGCCGAAAGGCCGGGUUUCGACCACGUUCACGCUGAGGAUGUUGGCAUAAUGGCUUUAAGCGACCCGUCUUGAAACACGG